AAUUCAAACAAGUGUCAGAACAGUUACUGACUAGUGAUUAGACUAGCUUAUCAUGUAGGCUAUUAACUAUGACAUAAUUCACACAUAAGUGACAGAACAGUUAU